rnacentral:rRNA from 1 species
GUCUACAGCCAUACCACCCUGAAUGCAUACGAUCUCAUCUGAUCUCAGAAACUAAGCAGGGUCGGGCCUGGUUAGUACCUGGAAGGGAGAUU